rnacentral:rRNA from 1 species
GCUUAUACUCGACCGUCAGCGGCAUGUGCGAUCGCGCUUCGGCGCGGUCAUGAAGCCCUGACGAGUAGGAGGGUCGCGGCGGUGAGCGCAGAAGGGCUGGCCGUGAGGCCGUCUGGAGCCGCCGUCGGUGCAGAUCUUGGUGGUAGUAGCAAAUACUCCAGCGAGGCCCUGGAGGACUGACGUGGAGAAGGGUUUCGUGUGAACAGCCGUUGCACACGAGUCAGUCGAUCCUAAGCCCUAGGCGAAAGCCGAUGUCGAUGUGGUGUAGAUUUAUAACGAAAAAGUUCGCAAGUGUGUAAUAUUAUAUAAUAUAAAUAAACACGUCGGUGAGCGUUAUCAAAACUGUACACACCCAUUGGGCGAAAGGGAAUCCGGUUCCUAUUCCGGAACCUGGCAGCGGAACCGUCAAAAAGUCGGGC